rnacentral:rRNA from 1 species
UACGUAGGGCGCGAGCGUUGUCCGGAAUUAUUGGGCGUAAAGAGCGUGUAGGCGGCCCGAUUAGUCCGCUGUGAAAGUCCAGGGCUCAACCCUGGAAUGCCGGUGGAUACUGUCGGGCUAGAGUCCGGAAGGGGCGAGUGGAAUUCCUGGUGUAGCGGUGAAAUGCGCAGAUAUCAGGAGGAACACCAAUGGCGAAGGCAGCUCGCUGGGACGUGACUGACGCUGAGACGCGAAAGCGUGGGGAGCAAACAGG